rnacentral:rRNA from 1 species
UGGGGAAUAUUGGACAAUGGGCGAAAGCCUGAUCCAGCCAUGCCGCGUGUGUGAAGAAGGUCUUCGGAUUGUAAAGCACUUUAAGUUGGGAGGAAGGGCAUUAACCUAAUACGUUAGUGUUUUGACGUUACCGACAGAAUAAGCACCGGCUAACUCUGUGCCAGCAGCCGCGGUCAUACAGAGGGUGCAAGAGUUAAUCGGAAUUACUGGGCGUAAAGCGCGCGUAGGUGGUUUGUUAAGUUGGAUGUGAAAUCCCCGGGCUCAACCUGGGAACUGCAUUCAAAACUGACUGACUAGAGUAUGGUAGAGGGUGGUGGAAUUUCCUGUGUAGCGGUGAAAUGCGUAGAUAUAGGAAGGAACACCAGUGGCGAAGGCGACCACCUGGACUAAUACUGACACUGAGGUGCGAAAGCGUGGGGAGCAAACA